rnacentral:rRNA from 1 species
UACGUAGGCAGCGAGCGUUGUCCGGAAUUAUUGGGCGUAAAGAGCUCGUAGGCGGUUUGUCGCGUCUGCUGUGAAAACGCGAGGCUCAACCUCGCGCCUGCAGUGGGUACGGGCAGACUGGAGUGCGGUAGGGGGAGAUUGGAAUUCCUGGUGUAGCGGUGGAAUGCGCAGAUAUCAGGAGGAACACCGAUGGCGAAGGCAGAUCUCUGGGCC